GCCCUCUCUCAUUCUCCGGCUGUCUGAUAGGCCCGUCGACAGGAUUUCUGAACCAUGAAGGUGGACAUACGGUUUAAAAGGAUGUGUCCAAGUUCUAGAAGUCAUCAAAUGCUACACUGGUUUCAGGAAAAUCGGAAGACAUGAUGUAACUGGAGGAGGUGUGGUCAUGUUCACUGAAUUGACUGGACAACAUCAAACAGAUGGUCUUGGUACUCAUGGAUAUGGUUAGAAUAUUCUUGGCUCAGUUUCAGAAAUGAGUGGCUGUCUGCAAAAGACAAAGACAUGCAACCUUUGCUGACUCUUCAGUCUUGUUGACCAAAUGGCAUAACGGUUGUUUGCACAAGAUGUCACACAAAUGAGGUCACAAUCGCUCUCUGAGCCAGCUUGAACAGCAAAGACAAGAUCGACUGAGGAAAGGGCUACAUCUAUCAGACUGAGCUUGGAUUGUGGAUGCAAAAACCCGAGCCUCUUGUCUCAGGGCCGAAGUGAGCCUGCUGAAGUUGGUUUGUCUGGAUAAUGAUACUUGAGUUGUGAGGGUCGGCUGUCCGACAAGUCCAUGGAGAUUGGUGUUGAGAUGAAUUAGCCUUGUUAGACUCUAGGAUAAAUGAAAACAAAAUUGUUAUAGAUUUGACUGUACUCCUGUUAUAUCACGUGUCAGUUGUUUGUAUUGUCUUGCAACAUUGUGGCAAUAAAUACUAAAAUAUUA